UACGUAGGGGGCAAGCGUUGUCCGGAAUCAUUGGGCGUAAAGAGCGCGUAGGCGGUCCGGUAAGUCCGCUCUGAAAGUCCGGGGCUCAACCCCGGGAGGCGGGCGGAUACUGUCGGGCUAGAGUCCGGAAGAGGCGAGUGGAAUUCCAGGUGUAGCGGUGAAAUGCGUAGAUAUCUGGAGGAACACCGGUGGCGAAGGCGGCAUCCUGGACCGGCAUUGACGCUGAGGCGCGAAAGCCAGGGGAGCAAACGGG
rnacentral:rRNA from 1 species